rnacentral:lncRNA from 1 species
AGGUGACUCAAUCGUGGUGCGGUUUGCCCCAUGCUGUUCUCGUGAUGAUGAGUGAGUUCUCACGAGAUCUGACGGCUUAAAAGUGUGGCACUUCCUACCUCACUCUCUCUCUCUCUCCUGCUGCAUUGUGAAGAAACUGCUUGCUUCCCUCUCACCCUCUGCAGUUUCCUGAGGCCUCCCCAGCCAUGCGGAACGGCCAGAUGCAGUGCCUCAUGCCUGUAAUCCCAGCACUUUGGGAGGCUGAGGGAGGAUUGCUUGAGAACCUUCCACUGGCCACUCAGCGAAAGGCAGCUGAUUCAGCACCUGGAGAAGACCGGCAACAGGGCUGAGUUUCCUUGCACUGCAGAGGAGGGGAGAGGCAAGGAGUGGACAUGAGCACGGAGGAUCCAGGGCACUCCCUUGAUGGUGAUGCCCUCGAAGGGCUGCCCCGUGCCCAUUGUACAGAAUGUGGAUUCCACCCCACGCCAUGAGAGCUCUCGCGCAGGCCCAGACCACUUUAUAAGCCAUAUUUCCCACCAAUUCCUGUUUCUGGAUCUGUCAGGUUAUUUCAUAUUUCUAGGCCCUUAGCUUUGCUUCCUCUUCCCUGAACGCCCUUUGCCCACAUCAUCCCAGCUCUCCUUCUCCUCCUGCCUUCUGUCUUCUCUUCCUCUCAUUUCUUGUCACCCAGGCUGGAGUCCAGUGGCGUGAUCACGGCUCACUACAGCCUUGAACUCCCGGGCUCAGGUGAUCCUCCCACCUGAGCCUCCCGAGUAGCUGGGACUACAGAUGCACACCACCAUGCCAGCUAAUUUUUAAAACUGUUUUUAGGGAUGGGGUCAUCUUCCUGUGUUGCCCAGGCUUGUCUCAAACUCCUGGGCUCAAGUGAUCCUCUCACCUCAGCCUUCCAAAGUGCUGGGAUUACAGGCAUGAGCCACAACAUCCAGCCCCUUUUCUCUUUUCUUACCCUUCUUUCCUAUUUUCUUUUCCAUUUUCUUUCCCUCCCUUCUUCUUUCUUUCCUAACUAUUAAGGAGUAGAUUGAAUUCAAGGUCUUUAUGUGUGUCAGUUUUUGUUUUCCAACAAAUAUUUCUUAAAAACCAACCAUUGAAACGUAAUGGUAACCACUGGCCCCUGUCUCCACCUCCACACCUAAGAAGCCCCAAAUCCAGAUGUGUCCAUUAAAAUCAGUCCAGAUCUUCUUUACCAAGCCACUAGAUGUCAUAUUAAUUUCACAGCAGAAUAGGGAAGCCCAUGCCGGAGCUGAAAACCUGCAACAACAAAAAAGCAUCUAAAUACUGCAAAAAAAAAAAAAAAAAAGAGGGAGAGAGGCAUCUUAAUAUUUGUCCUUAACACAUCAUACCAGACUUCUGCUUCCAGGAAUGACUGGAUGUGGUUUUUCUAGGUGGACAUAAUACAAAAUGCAGCUACCUGAAAACAAUGGAAAGUGGACAGAGCAGGCAGAUUCUGGUGGGAAGUCCACGCAAUAAAGAAAAGAUGUUACAGGAAGUGAGCGCCCAUUUUUGCUGUUUUUAGCUUGGAGGCAGGUGCAGCCAUUGUGCAAACCAGGUGUGGUGCUGGUGGAAAAACAGCCAUCUUUUUGGACUAUGAAAAUGGAAGGUUGAGUUCAGGGCAACUAUAACUGCCAAAAGAGAGAAGAAAGAGUUCUGGAAGAGAAAGAGCCAAAGAGGGAAUUCCCAAAUUCUUUCUGCUCCUGUCUGUGGCUGAUCCCAAACCACGGACACACACAGCAAAAACAAAAGCAUCUCAGCCAGAGACAAAAGAGUCUAAAAGAGACUGGACCUGCCACCUGAGAAACAGAGUUUGAAGUUAGAGUUCAAUCACAAAAAAAUGCCUGCUAAAACAAAAUAAACAAAACCUAUUAGAGAAAAGGUGUUCUCUUAUCAGAAUGUAGGGCCUCCACAACUUAACGUUUAUAAUGUGUACAAUCCAAACUUAUUCGACAUAUGAAGAACUGGAAAAGUGGGACCCAUUCUCAAGGGAAAAGAUAGCGGAGAUUCACUCCAAGAUGACCCAGAUGUUGGAAUUAUCCACCAAGGAUUUUAAAGCUACUAUUAUAACUGUUCUCAUGCUAUAAAAUCCACUAUUUAGAUCAUACUUAAUUGUGAAGAAAUGAAUUCUUUCCUCCUAAGAUUAGAAACAAGGACGGCAUGAAUACCCACUUUCACUACUAACACUGAAUUUUGUACGAAGGUCCCAGUCAGUUCAAUAUUUUUAAAAAGAUUUUAAAAAAAGCAAUAAAAGGCAUACAUAUUGGAAAGGGAAAAGUAAACUGUCUAAAUUUGCAGAUGACAAGGUCAUAUAAUGGUUUAAAAAAAGCUACUAGAACAAUAUGUGAGUUUACCAAGGUUAAAGGAUACAAGGUCAAUAUGCCAAAGUCAAGUGAAUUUCUAUAUAUUUGCAAUGAACAAUUCAAAAUGGAGUUUUAAAACAUUUUUAUUUAUGAUAGUCUCCAAAAUACUUUUUAAGAAAGAAAAUGACAGAAGCAACCCAAGUGUCUACUGAUGGAUAAUUAAAUUAUAGUAUAUAAAUACAAUGGGGCCGGGUGCAGUGGUUCAUGCCUGUAAACCCAGCACUUUGGGAGGCUGAGGUGGGAGGAUCACUCGAGCCCAGGAGUUCAAGACCAGCCUGGGCAACAUGGUGAAACCCCAUCUCUAGAAAAAGUACAACAAUUAGCUGAGCAUGGUGGUGCACACCUAUGGUCCUAGCUACUAGGAGGCUGAGGUGGGAGAUCACCGGAGCACAGGAGGUUGAGGCUGCAGUGAGCUGUGAUUGUGCCACUGCACUCCAGCCUGGGUGACAGAGCAAGACCCUGUCUCAAACACAUAUAUACAUACAUAUGUGGAAUACAAUGGAAUAUUUACUUAAAAAAGAAAGAAAAUUCCGACAACAUGGAUGGACCUUGAAGAUAUUAUGUUGAGUGAACUAGUCACAAAAGGACAAAUACUGCAUAAUUGUACUUUUAUGAGGCACUUAGAGUAAUCAAACUCAGAGACAGAAAGUAGAAUGCUGGUUGCCAGGGGCUGGUAGAAUGGAAAGUUAUUGUUUAAUGUUUAUAAAGUUUUAGUUUUGCAAGAUAAAAAGAUUUCUGUGGAUGGAUGGUGGUGAUGGUUGCACAAUGUGAAUGUACUUAAUGCCACUUAAAAAUGGUCAAGAUGGUAAAUUUUAUGUUAUGUGUAUUGUACCACAAUUUUCUUUACAAGGUCUCAAGUUGGACAUUAAAAUGCCAGGCAAUUAAAAGUAUUUAUGUUUAAAACUUAAUUUAAAAAAUAAUUGACAAGUAUAUUCUAAAAUUUGUUCGAGAAGGCAAAGGACCUAGAAUAGCAAGAAUACUCUUAAGAAAGGAAAACAAGUUUGGAAGGACUUAAACUACCUGAAUUCAAGACUUAUCAUUAAGAUACAGUAAUCACAACAGUGUGUUACUGGCAUAAAGAUAGACCAUAUGAGAUCAAUGGAACAAAAUAAAAGCUUUAAAAUGCACCAAUACUUAUAUGGUCAAUUGAUUUUCAACAAUGGUGCCAAAGUAAUUUAAUGGGGAAAAGAUAGUCUUUUCAAAAAAUGGUGUUAGAACAACUGGAUAUAUAUAUAUAUCCAUUAUAUAUAUACACUCAUUUAUAUAUACAUCAUAUACAUGUAUGUAUCAUAUAUAUGUAUAUAGCCUCAACUCUUAUUUCAUAUCAUAUACAAAUAUUUGAAUUGAUUGUAGACCUAAAUGAAGGAGCUAAAGCUAUUAAACUUUUAGAAGACAGCAUAAAAGAAUUUCCUUCCUUCUGCCUUGCCUUGCCCUGCCCUGCCCUGCCUUGCCCUGCCUUGCCCUGCCCUGCCCUGCCCUGCCCUGCCCUGCCCUGCCUUGCCUUGUUUUGUAACAGAGUCUCACUCUGUUGCCCAGGCUGGAGUGCAGUGGCGUGAUCUCAGCUCACUGCAGACUCAAUCACCUGGGCUUAAGCCAUCCUCUUGCCUCAGCGUCCUGAGUAGUUUGGACUACAGGCAUGCGCCACCACACUUGGCUAAUUUUAGUUUUGUUUUUUUGUUUUUGUUUUUUUGUAGAGACAAGGUUUCAUUAUGUUACCCAGGCUGGUCUCAAACUUCUGGACUCAAGCAAUCCUCCCUCCUCGGCCUGUAAUUAUUUCUUAAACAGGGCACAAAAAGCACAAAUCACAUAAGAAAAAAAGAUAAAACAGACUUCAUCAAGAUUUAAAGCUUUUCCUCCUCAGAUAACGAGUUGAGAAAACAAAGACAAGCCACAGAUUGGGAGAAAACAUUGGCAAAACAGCUAUUAAAAAAGCCUUCUAUCCAGAUUAUAUAAAGAACCCUUAAAACUCAGUAAUAAAAAGACAUACAUAGUAAGUAAUGGGCAAAUGAUUUGAACAAUCACUUUAUAAAAGAAGAUAAAUGAAUAGCCAACAAACACAUAAAAAGAUGCUGAACAUCACAAGUCAUUCAAGGAAGUGCAAAUUAAAAUAAUAAUAAAAUACUAUUAAAUGUCCACUAGAGUGGCCAAAUUUAAAAAAAAUGAAAAUCACCAGGUAUUGUGGCUCACACCUGUAAUCCCAGCACUUUGGGAGGCUGAGAUGGGCCAAUCACUUGAGCCCAGGAGUUCAAGACUGGCCUGGGCAACAUGGCAAAACCCUGUCUUUACACAAAAUACAAAAAUUAGCCUGGAGCAUAUCUAUAGUUCCAGCUACUCAGGGGGCUGAGGUGGGAGGAUCGCUUGAACCCUGGGAGGCCAGUCUGCAGUGAGUUUAGAUCAUGCCACUGUACUCCAGCCUGGGUGACAGAGCAAGACACUGUCUCAAAAAAAAACAAAAAACAAAAAAAAACCCCAAAAAAUAAAAAUGUGAGGAACUCUCACACAUUUACACAUUGCUGAAGGCAAUGCAAAGUGGUACAGUCAGGCCGGAAAACAGAGUGACAAGGUCCUAUAAAGGAGUGGUCCCAACCUUUUUGGCACCAGGGACCAGUUUCAUGGAAGACAAUUUUUCCAUGGACAGUGGGGGAAGGGAAUGGUUUUAGGAUGAUUCAAGCUCAUUAAAUUUAUUGUGUACUUUAUUUCUAUUAUUAUUACAUUGUAAUAUAUAAUGAAAUAAUUAUACAUCUCACCAUAAUGUAGAAUCAGUGGGAGCACUGAGCUUGUUCUCCUGCAACUAGAUGAUCCCAUCUGGGGGUGAUGUGAAACAAUGACAGAUGAUCAGGCAUUAGAUUCUCAUAAGGAACACACAACCUGGAUCCCUCGCAUGUGUAGUUCACAAUAGGGUUCAUGCUCCUAUGAGAAUCUAAUGCCUUUGCUGAUCUGACAGAAGGCAGAGCUCAGGCAGUAAUGCGACUGAUGGCAGGUGGCUGUAAAGAGAGAUGAAGCUUCAUUCCCUUUCCUGCCGCACACCUGCUGUGCAGCCCCAUUCCCAACAGGCCACCGACAGGUACUGGUCCAAUAAAGUGGAAGAUAUCCUUACCAGUAACCCAACAAUCCCUUCUCCUAGAGAAAUGGAAACACAUGUUCUCACAAAGACAAGUAUGCAAAUGCACAUAGCAGCAUUAUUCAUUGUAGCCAAAAUUUGAAAACAACCCAAAUGUCCAUCAGCUGGUGAAUAGAUCCAUUGUGGUACAUCUAUACUGUGGGAUACUACUCAGCAGUAAAAGGGAAUGAACUAUUGAUACACAAAACAUUAUAGAUGAAUUUCAAACACAUUAUGCUAAGUGAAAGGAAUCAAAUACAAAAGACUACAUUCUGUAUGACUAAAUUUAUAUGAAAUUUUAGAAAAGGCAAUAUUACAGGGAAGGGAAGCAGAUCAGCAUAUACCUGAGGCUACUAAGCCAGGUGAAGGGCAGGUUGCAAAGGGGUAUGAGAGGCUUUUAGCAAGUGAUGGAUGUGUUCUGUAUCUUUAUUGUGGUGACAUUUACAUGACUGUAUACAAUUACCCAAAGUCAUUAAAUUAUACAAUUAAAAUAUAUGAAUUGUACUGUAUUGUAAAUUAUACUUCAAUACAGCUGAAGAAAAAGUCAACAACAACCACAAAAUCACAGCCAAAGGGCUCUUCUCUAUGGCUGAAAGAUAUUGGGUCCACAUAUUCCAGAGUCCCUUGUACUCAUAUCAUGGUCUACUAUAUAAAUAAAUCAUAAUUUAUUUUUAAAGUUAAUCAUUGCUGAACAUUUGUAAUGUUUAUAAUUUCUUUCUUUUUUGAGUGGACCAAUGGAGGGGUGUAACGUUCUUCUAUGAGUCCCUGGAGCACUUUUGCAAGUAAUUCUACAUAUAAAAUGUGUUGGGUUAUAGAUUAUAAAUGUACUCAUGUUUCUUUUUUCAUAUGAUUUUAUUCUUUUUUAGAAUUUCAUUUGAAUAGAAUCCUACCUUAUGUAGUCUUUCUUAUUAAUACAUAAUAGUAUAUAUU